rnacentral:rRNA from 1 species
CCUACGGGAGGCAGCAGUGGGGAAUAUUGGACAAUGGGGGCAACCCUGAUCCAGCCAUGCCGCGUGUGUGAUGACGGCCUUAGGGUUGUAAAGCACUUUCAGCAGUGAAGAUAAUGACAUUAACUGCAGAAGAAGCCCCGGCUAACUUCGUGCCAGCAGCCGCGGUAAUACGAAGGGGGCUAGCGUUGUUCGGAAUCACUGGGCGUAAAGAGUACGUAGGCGGACUGAUAAGUUAGGGGUGAAAUCCCAAGGCUCAACCUUGGAACUGCCUUUGAUACUGUCAGUCUUGAGAUCGAGAGAGGUGAGUGGAACUCCGAGUGUAGAGGUGAAAUUCGUAGAUAUUCGGAAGAACACCAGUGGCGAAGGCGGCUCACUGGCUCGAUACUGACGAUGAGGUACGAAAGCGUGGGGAGCAAACAGGAUUAGAUACCCUGGUAGUCCACGCCGUAAA